ACAUGCAAGUCGAACGAGAAAGUGGAGCAAUCCAUGAGUAAAGUGGCGACCGGGUGAGUAACACGUGACUAACCUACCUCCGAGUGGGGAAUAACUCCGGGAAACCGGGGCUAAUACCGCAUAACAUCGCAAGAUCAAAGCAGCAAUGCGCUUGGAGAGGGGGUCGCGGCUGAUUAGCUCGUUGGCGGGGUAACGGCCCACCAAGGCGAAGAUCGGUAUCCGGCCUGAGAGGGCGCACGGACACACUGGAACUGAAACACGGUCCAGACUCCUACGGGAGGCAGCAGUGGGGAAUCUUGCGCACUGGGGGAAACCCUGACGCAGCAACCCCGCGUGGAGGAUGAAGCCCUUUGGGGCGUAAACUCCUUUCGACUCGGACGAUAAUGACGGUAC
rnacentral:rRNA from 1 species